GGGUAUAGCUCAGUGGUAGAGCAUAUGCUUAGCAUGCACAAGGCCCGGGGUUCAAUCCCCAGUACCUCCA
rnacentral:tRNA from 1 species